rnacentral:rRNA from 1 species
UACAGAGGUCUCGAGCGUUAGGCGGAAUCACUGGGCUUAAAGCGUGUGUAGGUGGAUCGUUAAGUACCUUGUGAAAUCCCACGGCUUAACCGUGGAACUGCUUGGUAUACUGGCGGUCUUGAGGACUGGAGAGGAGACUGGAAUUCAUGGUGUAGCAGUGAAAUGCGUAGAGAUCAUGAGGAAGACCAGUGGCGAAGGCGGGUCUCUGGACAGUUCCUGACACUGAGGCACGAAGGCCAGGGGAGCAAACGGG